ACUGGUUGAAGUUUGAAACACCUGUGCGCGCCUCCUUGGUAAAAACGUUUAAAACUACGACAAGUAACAAAAGAAGAAGAUAGUGACACAACUUCAUCAUUCUCGUACCUUGAAAAUACAAAGCUCGGCCAUCUCGACGCAAAACGUUUGAGGUAUAUAUAUCCGACUGAAGUGCUGCUAACGCCAGGCUAGCGUCCAAGCUAACGUCCGUACAUCCGACAAGAAGAGAGACUGCUGAGAACCUGAACUGGAGGUGGCGGUGCUACAGGAGGGGGAAGAAAAGAGAGUUGUCGCUGCUCAAAGAAGUUGCAGAAAGAAAGUCCGACCCACUUCCAGGCCUACUCCCUCCCUGCCUCCCCUCCCUCACCUCCUCCUCCUCCUCCCCCACAUCAUCGCUCUUGCUGACAGAAAUAGCUAGCAAGGCGGUCCUCACCAAAAAUAGACCGCGCCAUUGUUUACUUCCGUGACACAUUCCUAUUGGAUGCAGGAAGCGCCAAUCAGCGUCCAGCAGUUAUUAUUGGUAAUAUUUAAUGAUGACAUGGAGAACGUCUCUUAACUACACAAGGAAAUCAUGGAAAUUGAAUUAAUCUGCUGCAGGAACUCAAGCAUUUGCGUGCUUUUCAUCCUGUUUUCCGACCCAAGCGCAUAAAGCCAGGUCAGGCGAGUGAUGUAUCCGAGCAAUAAUGAAACCAGCAACCUCCUUUUGUCAACCUCCCAUUGCUCGUUGGGCUUCAGGUGUCUCCGCGCAAACACGAUGGGGAACCCAAGUGUUUUUUUUACCAAGUCUGAAUCACAUCCGGUUUCAAGCUGAAAAUAACAAAACCACAUGGUGACAGAAAAGCAGCGCAGCAAGCAACCACCCACAGGAAGAGAGGCACGCAUAGACGCGCAUUCACACUGCAAGGCUAACUAACACGAAGACUCGCUAAUCGCUAGCUUCAGCGACAUUCACAGACGAAGAGUGGAUACCUAGCUCUUGAUUUCGCUACAAAGACUCAACACAAGAGUGGAACACCCGUCUUGUGCUGGAAGACACAGACAUCCCAAGUA